UGGCUCAGUCGGUUAAGUGCCUGACUUCGACUCAGGUCAUGAUCUUGCAGUUUGUGGGUUCGAGUCCCAC
rnacentral:tRNA from 1 species